AGUAGCAAUACUUUGGUGGCGACCGGCGCACGGGUGAGUAACGCGUAUGCAACCCAUCUAUCAGAGGGGAAUAACCCGGCGAAAGUCGGACUAAUACCGCAUAAAACAGGGGCACCGCAUGGUGAUAUUUGUUAAAGAAAUUCGCUGAUAGAUGGGCAUGCGUUCCAUUAGGUAGUUGGUGAGGUAACGGCUCACCAAGCUGACGAUGGAUAGGGGAACUGAGAGGUUGGUCCCCCACACUGGUACUGAGACACGGACCAGACUCCUACGGGAGGCAGCAGUGAGGAAUAUUGGUCAAUGGGCGAGAGCCUGAACCAGCCAAGUCGCGUGAAGGAAGAAGGAUCUAUGGUUCGUAAACUUCUUUUGCAGGGGAAUAAAGAGCAGGACGUGUCCUGUUUUGUAUGUACCCUGAGAAUAAGGAUCGGCUAACUCCGUGCCAGCAGCCGCGGUAAUACGGAGGAUCCGAGCGUUAUCCGGAUUUAUUGGGUUUAAAGGGUGCGUAGGUGGUUUGAUAAGUCAGCGGUGAAAGUUUGCAGCUUAACUGUAAAAAUGCCGUUGAAACUGUCGGACUUGAGUGUAAAUGAGGUAGGCGGAAUGCGUGGUGUAGCGGUGAAAUGCUUAGAUAUCACGAAGAACUCCGAUUG
rnacentral:rRNA from 1 species